UAAAUUGUGGUGUAAUAAAAUGUGGCACUUAUUUGUAAACAGAUCGUAAAUAAUAGAUUUAUUUAUAUAUAACUUUAUUUCACUCAUACCAUACACUGUUUAAAGUUGGACUUAACGUUAAAUAGAAUUCUCUUUUAGAUUGAAAUAAAAAUUUGACACUGGCUCUUGAGACGCAGUUAACAAAUAUUAAUCACAGUACCACUAAUCAAUGGGCGAUAAAAGCCCCAUUAAUGGUUAGAUUAAUUUAUCGUUUAAUGGAAGGCUCGAGAAAUUUAAUAACGAUUGAAAUAUUAUUAAUUUGUGAACAGAAAGGAAAUAAAAUUCACACCGGAAUAAAAGAACUAGAUAACUGAUGUUCAGAAAUGCGUCUACAAAUCACUUUAAUCAUAUGUUUAUUAGAGGCUACCUUCCUGAAAGAAUCAUUUGGGAAUACAGGACAUAAGUCGAUGUGUGAAGAGAAAAAGAUUUCAUCACCACCCUUCUUCACUUAUCCCAUUUAUUAUCCAUUCUAUUACUAUCCCAUGUACAUACCUACUUUUUAUGUGUUGGGAUAAAUAUAAGAUACUGAAACGUAUUUUAUGACCUAUGUCAGAAGAAUGAAGGCUAUAUAUUUUUUUAUCUUAUAAAGAAAAAGAUAGAUUUAUUUGCAAACAUGUGUGCAUUGUAGAUACAAAGACAUGCUGGUUAUUCAUUGUAGAAUUUGUAUAGAUCUAAUAUAUUUUUUUAACAGCGUGCAAAAUGUUCUUCCAAGGGCAAUGGUAAUUUCAACUGCCUUACAAAAUAAAUCCAUGCUUUUUAUCUAUCUAUGCCUUACAAAAUAUAUUUAGUGUUUUGUAAAAAAUACAUAUGAAUAUUACCGUUAAAAGAGAACAAUAUUAACAAAAUCAUAAAGUUAAAUAAAAUGAAAUAAAAUUCAAAUCAGGUAUAUUUGAUUUUAUUUGUUGUAUAGCCUUCAUUCGGUUGUAAUAGCAUUUUAUAUGUAUGUAUUUUAACCGUACAUAUAGUAACCAUGAACGACUCAUAUUCUCCCUUUCCAGUAGAAAUAGUCCCCCUUCAAGAAGUAAAUGGUACUCUUAAUAGCAGAAUAUCUAAUUCGUUGCUAUUUUAUAAAUAAUUUUUGAUAAUCAUAUACUAAAAUAUUACAAUUUCAUCAAUAUAAUAUAUUAUCUAUA